ACAAAUGUUUUCUAAGUGUCUAAUGAUGAGUUUCAUAGGGCAGAUUCUGAGGUGACAGUUCAGUUCAUCACUGAUGUUCUGUGGAAUCUGAAGACACUUGAAAACCA
ensembl:snoRNA SNORD90 small nucleolar RNA, C/D box 90